CUAAAUGUAACUUAAUUAUAAUUAAAGUAAUGAAUUUGUAAUUCAUUGAUGGCUAAGCUGCCCAUUUAGUC
rnacentral:tRNA from 1 species